CUUUCAUCCAAAGCGACUUACAAAUGAGGAACAUCACAAGCAAUUUAUCAUACAAGAGGCAACAAUAUCCACAGUACCGCAACGAGUUUCAAGUUUCAAGAUAACUCUGAAUGUUGCGCGUUCUGCGGCUGCCAAGAGGAGCUUAAACUCUCAUCAGACUUUGCCACGUAGACACGGACUGUCUAAGUCCAGCAUGCCUCUGCUGGAAUUCAUUGAGAACGACACUUCCAGAAGAUUCCACCUCCAGAGUGACAACCUUGCGGGUCAAAUGCAAUAAUCCAGAAAUCCACUCUACAUCGACUAAAAGCCGGGUUGUUCUCUCCUGAGGUGCUGGAUGUGUCUGCAAGAUCACUGCAGGGC